AUUUGAUUCGUUUCUCUUUCUUAUUGGCUUCAGGUUCAUGGUGUACUGAAGGAUCUGGUACACAAGUCAAUUAAUGAGACCUCGGAGUUGAAGCAAUACCCAUCCCUGAGAGCGGAAGGUAUGAAUGCAGCUGCUGAGUCAUUAGAUAAGAUGAGAAACGAGAG